GCCAUCAAAGGAAAGGGAGAGAGAGAAAAGAAAGCAAUUUCUUCAAGGCUGUUUCAAUAUGGUCUGUUUGAUGAAAUACACAUUGAGAUUCAUAAAGAGCAGCUAAGCCUAGAAAGAUAAUGGAGGCAUAACGAUCCACAUAUUCAAAGGGAUUCAAAUUCACGCUACAAGUUCAUCAUGUGAAAAUCCUUUAAAAAAGUCCUUCAGUUGUAGAUUCCAUGGUCUCCCAGUCAUGAAAACAUAAUGAAUUUGACAAUCAAAGUUAAUCCAGCAAAGACAGUGAGCAGGAUUGUACAAGGAAAGAGUGGAAUCACAGAACUCCCAUCAGGAAAAUAAACCCAGAACAUUUAGUGUACCGAUGUGGAAUCUGUGGCAUAGACAAGUGAAGAAUUUCUUCUAUAUUCAUUUGGAGUCCCCAAACUCAGGAGUAUGAAGGAUGUUCAGAAAGCCAACAAGGAAAAUCAACCACUCAAAAAUAGUACAGAUAUGCAGAUGGAAAGGAACAAAAGUCAUUAUGAUUGUGGUAACCAAGACACAGAACACAAAUAUG
ensembl:processed_transcript Gm43996 predicted gene, 43996